rnacentral:snRNA from 1 species
AGCUUUGCACAGUGGCAGCAUUGUCGUUAUCCAAGGCGGGAUUAUUGCUAAUUGAAAGCUUUUCCCAAUACCCCACCGUGACGACUUGCAAUAUAGUUGGCACUGAAUUGGCAAUUUUUUACAGUAUCUAUGGAGA